GACGUCGAGUUGAUGGAUGUUCCAUGACAGCAAUGACAAAUGCCUUCAUUAGCCUCUCAACUUUUGGGCUUUGGGAUGAGAACCAAAGGCAGUCAGCGCCAGUGGAAUCUUGGUUGGACGGUGUAGGGUGUCAAGCAGUGGCGCUGGGAAUGGCAGACAUCUUGAGAAGAAACUCUAAUCUUACUGUCUCCGCCUACAAAGUCUUUCCCCAGAAUGGCCCCGAUACAGUCGCUGCAUCCAGAAGCUUUUGUCCUUCGGAGCUGCUGUCAGGGGACACGAGUCACUCGAGCGCUUCCUUCCUAAGGGAGUUCUGCCGCUUCGAGGGGAUUUUUAAAACGAUGGUCAAUCACGGAUGCUUUCAAGCAAGGCGCUGUGGGGAACCUGCAAGUUGAAACUUCAAACAAGCUGUGCCGUCGGUCCCACAUUUGUGGCGUCAAUUCCGAAAGCCAAGCGCAAGACCUCCUUUGAAAAGUUCUUGCAAACACUUGGCAUGAAAAAACAAAAAUACGCCACGACAUUACGCACUUUUCGAGGAGUCACAAACUUGGAAAGAUGAUGCGGUGAUUGACCCGCACGCCAAUGAUAAUAGUUCUGUUCCCGUUUGGUGUUUCAUCUCUAUGUCAGUCCUGUCACGAGCGAGGCCUUGUCAGAACAAAGACGCAAAACAGAAGGUCACUGACUCGGUAAUCAGCGAGGUCACGCUGGGUCAGCGAGCUCUCGGGUGUCAGCACAAGCGGAUGCCCAAAGAAAGCAAGCAGAGACUUUGAGGUGACUAGUUCGAAGUCAACUCCAGACAAACUCAUUGCUUUCAACCAAAUGACCCGACGUCUGUACAAGAGACUCAGAUGCACACACAAAAAAAAAAA